GUUGGGUAGGGGAGCGUUCUGUAAGCCUGUGAAGGUGUGCUGUGAGGCAUGCUGGAGGUAUCAGAAGUGCGAAUGCUGACAUAAGUAACGAUAAAGCGGGUGAAAAGCCCGCUCGCCGGAAGACCAAGGGUUCCUGUCCAACGUUAAUCGGGGCAGGGUGAGUCGACCCCUAAGGCGAGGCCGAAAGGCGUAGUCGAUGGGAAACAGGUUAAUAUUCCUGUACUUGGUGUUACUGCGAAGGGGGGACGGAGAAGGCUAUGUUGGCCGGGCGACGGUUGUCCCGGUUUAAGCGUGUAGGCUGGUUUUCCAGGCAAAUCCGGAAAACUAAGGCUGAGGCGUGAUGACGAGGCACUACGGUGCUGAAGCAACAAAUGCCCUGCUUCCAGGAAAAGCCUCUAAGCAUCAGGUAACAUCAAAUCGUACCCCAAACCGACACAGGUGGUCAGGUAGAGAAUACCAAGGCGCUUGAGAGAACUCGGGUGAAGGAACUAGGCAAAAUGGUGCCGUAACUUCGGGAGAAGGCACGCUGAUAUGUAGGUGAAGUCCCUCGCGGAUGGAGCUGAAAUCAGUCGAAGAUACCAGCUGGCUGCAACUGUUUAUUAAAAACACAGCACUGUGCAAACACGAAAGUGGACGUAUACGGUGUGACGCCUGCCCGGUGCCGGAAGGUUAAUUGAUGGGGUCAGCGCAAGCGAAGCUCUUGAUCGAAGCCCCGGUAAACGGCGGCCGUAACUAUAACGGUCCUAAGGUAGCGAAAUUCCUUGUCGGGUAAGUUCCGACCUGCACGAAUGGCGUAAUGAUGGCCAGGCUGUCUCCACCCGAGACUCAGUGAAAUUGAACUCGCUGUGAAGAUGCAGUGUACCCGCGGCAAGACGGAAAGACCCCGUGAACCUUUACUAUAGCUUGACACUGAACAUUGAGCCUUGAUGUGUAGGAUAGGUGGGAGGCUUUGAAGUGUGGACGCCAGUCUGCAUGGAGCCGACCUUGAAAUACCACCCUUUAAUGUUUGAUGUUCUAACGUUGACCCGUAAUCCGGGUUGCGGACAGUGUCUGGUGGGUAGUUUGACUGGGGCGGUCUCCUCCUAAAGAGUAACGGAGGAGCACGAAGGUUGGCUAAUCCUGGUCGGACAUCAGGAGGUUAGUGCAAUGGCAUAAGCCAGCUUGACUGCGAGCGUGACGGCGCGAGCAGGUGCGAAAGCAGGUCAUAGUGAUCCGGUGGUUCUGAAUGGAAGGGCCAUCGCUCAACGGAUAAAAGGUACUCCGGGGAUAACAGGCUGAUACCGCCCAAGAGUUCAUAUCGACGGCGGUGUUUGGCACCUCGAUGUCGGCUCAUCACAUCCUGGGGCUGAAGUAGGUCCCAAGGGUAUGGCUGUUCGCCAUUUAAAGUGGUACGCGAGCUGGGUUUAGAACGUCGUGAGACAGUUCGGUCCCUAUCUGCCGUGGGCGCUGGAGAACUGAGGGGGGCUGCUCCUAGUACGAGAGGACCGGAGUGGACGCAUCACUGGUGUUCGGGUUGUCAUGCCAAUGGCACUGCCCGGUAGCUAAAUGCGGAAGAGAUAAGUGCUGAAAGCAUCUAAGCACGAAACUUGCCCCGAGAUGAGUUCUCCCUGACUCCUUGAGAGUCCUGAAGGAACGUUGAAG
rnacentral:rRNA from 1 species